rnacentral:rRNA from 1 species
GGCGAACGCUGGCGGCGUGCCUAAUACAUGCAAGUCGAGCGGACGGAUGGGAGCUUGCUCCCAGACCGUCAGCGGCGGACGGGUGAGUAACACGUGGGCAACCUGCCUGUAAGCCUGGGAUAACUCCGGGAAACCGGGGCUAAUACCGGAUAACUCUUUCCCUCACACGUGGACAAGCUGAAAGAUGGCAUCUCGCUAUCACUUACAGAUGGGCCCGCGGCGCAUUAGCUAGUUGGUGAGGUAACGGCUCACCAAGGCGACGAUGCGUAGCCGACCUGAGAGGGUGAUCGGCCACACUGGGACUGAGACACGGCCCAGACUCCUACGGGAGGCAGCAGUAGGGAAUCUUCCGCAAUGGACGAAAGUCUGACGGAGCAACGCCACGUGAGUGAUGAAGGUUUUCGGAUCGUAAAACUCUGUUGUCAGGGAAGAACAAGUACCGGAGUAACUGCCGGUACCUUGACGGUACCUGACCAGAAAGCCACGGCUAACUACGUG